rnacentral:lncRNA from 1 species
GCUUAUUACAAAUGUUUGGAAUUUAGUUAUUUGUUUAUGUCAGUUCUUGUUAUUUGCAUGUCUUGAACAUGGAGAAAAUUAAUGAGAAAAAGUUUGUAUCAAAUUCUCAUAUUUGGAAAAUAUUUCACAGGAUUUUUUUUUAAGAUUGUGGAUAAAUAUUUGAAAGCUGAAUUGUUUGGGGUAAAUAUCUUUUUAAUUACUAUUCAGUAUUCUUUUUACUCAUCUGCAUUUUUUAAAAAAUCUUUUUGUGAAAAUCUUAACAUUAAAUGAAAUAAUACAAAGGCAAAUUUUAAAUACUUUAUGUUAAUAGAUGAACAAAUGGAAUUCAAACAUGAUGAAAUAGUAAGAGGCAUUAAGUUGAAAAACACAGCACAAUAUAUAUCCUCUAAAUUUCAGUCUGUUUCAGCUAAUUUGGGAAGAUAGUUGUCUUAAUAGGACUGAUAAUUACUAUAGAUUUUAGUAAUAAACAUUUAUAGAUUUGAUUUAGAAAUUAUUUCAACCAUGUAAUGCUCAUAAUUUAUUUCUUCACCAAUUCAAAUUCAGGACCGAAUGAAAGGUCUCUUUUGCUUGGGAUUUCUUUUCUCAUUUACAAAUAUGCUUUAUGAUCCCCUGGCUUGUCAAUUAUUUCCUAUUCAUCUUGAUUUAGUAUAUGCAAUGAAACUCAAACUCUAUAUGUGAAAGCAGCCCUUUGAUUUCCAGUAUUUAUCAAUAUUAUAUAGCACAUUGAAACAUUUCAGUUACUUAUAUAUAGAUGACUAUCUUAUAUUUAUAUCACAGGUUAGAUGUUUUACGAGGAAAAAUAUCUAGAAAUUACUUCUUUUGAAUGCAUAUAAUGAAGAAAAUGAUAUAUAAUGAUUUUAGCCCAUUUAAUGAAUGGCAUGUCUCUCUAAAUGAAACCCUCUUGUUUUAACUAGUCAAUUUUAAACUU